rnacentral:rRNA from 1 species
AGUCGAGCGAACAGAGAAGGAGCUUGCUCCUUUGACGUUAGCGGCGGACGGGUGAGUAACACGUGGGCAACCUACCUUAUAGUUUGGGAUAACUCCGGGAAACCGGGGCUAAUACCGAAUAAUCUAUUUUACUUCAUGGUGAAAUACUGAAAGACGGUUUCGGCUGUCGCUAUAAGAUGGGCCCGCGGCGCAUUAGCUAGUUGGUGAGGUAACGGCUCACCAAGGCGACGAUGCGUAGCCGACCUGAGAGGGUGAUCGGCCACACUGGGACUGAGACACGGCCCAGACUCCUACGGGAGGCAGCAGUAGGGAAUCUUCCACAAUGGGCGAAAGCCUGAUGGAGCAACGCCGCGUGAGUGAAGAAGGAUUUCGGAUCGUAAAACUCUGUUGUAAGGGAAGAACAAGUACAGUAGUAGCUGGCUGUACCUUGACGGUACCUUAUUAGAAAGCCACGGCUAACUACGUGCCAGCAGCCGCGGUAAUACGUAGGUCGCAAGCGUUGUCCGGAAUUAUUGGGCGUAAAGCGCGCGGCGGCCCCCCUCUUAAGUCUGAUGUGAAACCCUCGGCUCACCCGUGCAGGGUCAUUGGAACUUGGCGACUUGAGUGCAGAAGAGGAGAGUGAAAUUCCCAGUGUAGCGGUGAAAUGCGUAGAGAUUUGGAGGAACACCAGUGGCGAAGGCGACUUUCUGGUCUGUAACUGACGCUGAGGCGCGAAA